AUGUAGAUCAUGCCUUGAGAAAACACAUCAACUCUACCUAGAGGAAAGACAUACAAGCUAGCUACACUUAUCAAUGAAGAACUCACUUGUCCUAGCUUUCUUCGCACUUUGUUUGCUCAUGAUCUCCGAAACAGUAGUCGUAAGUAGGCAACUUGAGGAUAAACCACUGCCAUUCUCUCUCCAAGCGAGUGACAAAGGGAAUGAAUACAUUAACAUUGACGGAAUUGCCUCUAGUUCCAAUGUUGUUGGUAAAACAGGAAACGAGGAGAGAAAGCUAGGAGAAACCAAAGCAAUUGGUGAUCUAUCAAUUGACAAAAACAGUUCCAAUGAUGCAGACAAUUUGGCCACACAAAUGAACACUCACAU